UGAACUUUUACAUUCAACAACAAGCAAUUAAAACACAUCUAUAUAUCUAAAAAAAAAUGAGAAUAGAGAAACUCAAUGGAUCUAGCACAUUUUGACAUUUCAAAAGUGCAGAUCUGUCGAUAAAAUCUGUUUUUUUUUUGCAUUUCUGACAUAUUUUCAGUGCAAACUGGAGGCUGUCAGUUAUCUAAAACAUGCCCUCUUGAUGGUAAACGGCGCUAUUUAUAUAAACGCGUCUCCCACGUCCUCCACCAUGAAGUCGGGGUAUUUUCCAGUCCAGAUGAUGAAGGAGGGCCAGCUGUUGAAAAUUUUCCGUCUGCCGCUCGAGCGUAGCCUCAAUGACCCUUCAGUUAGCGCCGCCUCGGACUCUCACCUCAUUGAGCCCCGCGGGGCCGACAGGCCCACUAACAGGAAGCGAGUCAACACCCCCCCAGAGGUGAAUUCAACCCCAUGACUCAGCUCCGACGCUGGAGGACAUCUGGAUGGACACAGUGAGGAGCAGAGAGAAGGAGAAGGUCACGAGGAGGAACUAACUCAGCUGAUUGAGAAAUGUUUAAUAUAACCACGUUUUUUCACUUACAUUUUUACAAAUUUUACACAUUUUAUAGUCAUAAAUUCCUCGAUUCUUUCUUGUAUAAUCUUCAUUUAUUCAUCGUUCUCACAUGUAAAAGUUAAAAGUUUUGUAUUACUGAGACGUUUGCUCUACUUUCUGAUGCUAAUUAUAUUGUGACAUUUCAUCACCAGUUCUGAAUUCUUUGUUUCCAUCAACAAGCUCGUUUCUCUCAGUUUCCAUGGAAAUGUGUAUUUUUAUACAUUCUUCUAAACAAUCUUAAUUUAAACGGUGACUCACGAGUUAAUGAGUCAUCUUCAGUGUUGGAACAUGAUCUUUAAAGGAUUUGAGAGGAUGAUAGAUAUUCUGGUCCGUCGCUCCGCUGGACUUCGUGAUCUAGUUUUGUGGGAACUUUUUACAUGAAGUUUGUUGGAUUUUCUGUCCUUAUUUGCUGCAGGAAGUUUAAUUUUUCAGUUAUCCUGAAUGUAUUUCAGAACGACUCAGAUAAAUUAUUCAUUCAAGCUCACACUUUUUUUAUUUUAAGACUGAGAAAGGUUCAUUUUUUAUAACAGAAAUCUGAAAAAGUAAAGUUUCAGCACAUAUUCACAAAUGUAAUCGACUUUUCAUGACAUUGAUUUAUUAGUCUUUUAGUCCUUUAUUUCGAACAUACAAAAAAUACAUGGUGAAAACAAGAAAACUGAAUUUUUUUUUAUAAAUUAUAAAUAAAAAACUCAAUUAUUUAGUCCGAAAUGGAGUAGGAAGAAGUUUAAAAAACUUUUCUUUAAUCCUACCCCCUAACAAUAUAACUUAAUUUUACCUUUAAUAUAAAUUAUUUCAGAAACGGAAAUUUUGUACCAUUUUUUUCUUUUUUUUUCAUCAAACAGAUAAGUUUUUACUUUUUGUUUAGAUUUUCUUUUUGGGCAUUUUUAGUUUUUUUUAAUGAGAAAAGAGGAUUUUCAUCUCUAACAUGUAAACACGUCUGCUGUCGUUCUUUUCUGUCGGUUUCCGUUAAACUGAAAUGUUCCUCAUGCGGUUCCUGUUUGCUUUUGUUUCUGCCUGAAACUCUUCAUGGCAAUUAUAACCUAAAAGGGCAUGAAAUUUUUAAAACCAAUAAAUUUAGAACCAAAAUGAAGGAAAAAAGUGUCUCAGUGCAGGGUAUUAGAUUAUGGAAUACUUUAGAAAAAUCUAUAAAAGAAUCUCAUUCAAUUAUUACUUUUAAAAAAACUGUGAAAAAACAAAUGCUCACAUCAUACGAAUCAAACAGUCAUUAAAAACGGUAAAAUCGGCCUUAAUGCUUAAUGGGAAAGGAAGGAAAAAGAGAAAGGAAAAGAGGGAAAAGAAUAAGGAAAAAAGGAAAAUACUAUUACUUUUCUCCCUAUUAUUUUUGGUGUUUGUUUUUUCUUACCACUUGCUAUAUCUGUUGCAUAAUUUUGUAAUUUUGUUUGAAAUUAUUUACUGACUUGGUUAAAUGGGGCAGAGUUAAUAAGUUUACUUCUUUCUGUCCCUUUUCAUUUUCAUUUUUUUUUUAUCUCAGAAACCUUGAUUACUGUAAAACUCCUUAUGUG
ensembl:lncRNA